UACGUGGGGAGGCAAGCGUUGUCCGGAUUUACUGGGCGUAAAGAGCGUGUAGGCGGCCAGGCAGGUCUGUUGUGAAAACUGGAGGCUUAACCUCCAGACGUCGACAGAAACCGUCUGGCUAGAGUCCGGAAGAGGAGAGUGGAAUUCCUGGUGUAGCGGUGAAAUGCGCAGAUAUCAGGAGGAACACCUGCGGUGUAGACGGCUUACUGGACCAUAACUGACGCUGAGGCACGAAAGCGUGGGUAGCAAACAGG
rnacentral:rRNA from 1 species